rnacentral:tRNA from 1 species
UGGGGCGUCGUCAAGUGGUAAGACACCGGCCUUUGGAGCCGGCAUUCGGAGGUUCGAAUCCUCCCGCCCCAGCCA